CUGAUGGCAGCGUUUCAGCGCCUUCCUUGGCGUCGCUCCAUCCCGUGCGUGGCUUGUUGCCACCUCCCGGCACACAGCUCUCACAAAAGGCCUUUCUGCUCUCGCCCAGUCUCCGCACAACGUCAAACCAGUGACUGAUAUCCAAGUGGUCACCUCUCUUGGGCCUUCAUCAUUUUUCCAUUUUCCCAGCGGCUGCCUCCUGCACGUUGUACUACAGUGGAGGACGGAGAUGCACGGGGCAUCCAAGCAGAUGUCUUGCUCAGCCAAGAUUUGUCCGGGUCGCCCACGGCUGGGUACGCGUUAGCCGUUAACAGGCUUCUCUAGAAGGCAGUUGACCAAGAGAGUUCAGUGUGCAAGUCUGGGAGCGGAAGGGCCCCAGGUUUGAGUGACACGGGGAAACCUGACCUCUUUGGCCUCAAUUUUGUCAUCUGUAAGAUGGGGAUUACAAAGUAAGGAGAUGGGGAACCUACCUCAUGGGGUGAUGCGAAGGCAGCGUGAGAUCCUGCAGAGGAAGUGCUCAGCCCAGGCUCAUUUUCCUUUCCUGAACACCUCCAACGUCUACCAGGAGAUCACCUUCAAGCCCUCAGCACUGCCCGGGCCCAGAAUUAAUAACACACCGUGAGACGGAAAAACCGCGAAUGUCUGACAUCUGGGUGUGUUAAAGGAGCAUCAUUAAGUCUCUCAGAAUUAUUGCUCCUGUGCAGACUCCGGGGCCAGAAGAAAACCCAGAGACCCCCUGCUCCCCCUGAGGUCCGGAGAGACAAGGACACUCACUGGCCACCCAAAGAGGUCACGGAGAUGCAGGCAACUCGGUGGUGUCCAAAGAGCUGCGCAUACAAACCACAUGUGAAACGGAGAAAAGGACCCUGCCAAGCGUCUGUGCAAAGUGCCUGAGCCAAGCGGGGUGAUCAGAGGCUUGUUCCUCCAGCACCACCGCUAGAAAAGCGAGGGAUUCUCAAAGAAACAUGUAGGAAUAGUUCUUAACCUCAAAGGGAGAUGAGUAAAGGGAAUGAAUAAACAAAAUUCAGAGAGACAGAAAAUAUGAAAAACCAUUCAAUUCCAUUACUCAUCAAAGAGACCAUUUUCACCUUUAAACCAGCAAUUUUUUUUUUUUUGGUCUUUUUGUCCUUUUAGGGC